GGGGAAUAUUGCACAAUGGGCGCAAGCCUGAUGCAGCGACGCCGCGUGGGGGAUGAAGGCCUUCGGGUUGUAAACUCCUUUCGCUAGGGACGAAGCUUUUUGGUGACGGUACCUAGAUAAGAAGCACCGGCUAACUACGUGCCAGCAGCCGCGGUAAUACGUAGGGUGUGAGCGUUGUCCGGAAUUACUGGGCGUAAAGGGCUCGUAGGUGGUUUGUCGCGUCGUCUGUGAAAUUCUGGGGCUUAACUCCGGGCGUGCAGGCGAUACGGGCAUAACUUGAGUGCUGUAGGGGUAACUGGAAUUCCUGGUGUAGCGGUGAAAUGCGCAGAUAUCAGGAGGAACACCGAUGGCGAAGGCAGGUUACUGGGCAGUUACUGACGCUGAGGAGCGAAAGCAUGGGUAGCGAACAGGAUUAGAUACCCUGGUAGUCCAUGCCGUAAACGGUGGGCGCUAGGUGUGAGGGUCUUUCUACGACUUUCGUGCCGUAGCUAACGCAUUAAGCGCCCCGCCUGGGGAGUACGGCCGCAAGGCUA
rnacentral:rRNA from 1 species